CGGGCUUUGAUCCCACAACACUUUAAUUAACAAUUAAAUGCCCAAUCCAACGGACUUCUACCUAGCUUCUCCCGU
rnacentral:tRNA from 1 species